GGGGAUGUAGUUUAAUCGGAAAAACAAUCGUGAUCAUGUCGGGGAUCGGGACGCCGUGAAACGAUAUAUAUGCCACGAUACGGAUGCGGGUUCGAGUCCCGUCGCCCCA
rnacentral:tRNA from 1 species